GAGCUUGCUCCCUGAUGUUAGCGGCGGACGGGUGAGUAACACGUGGGUAACCUGCCUGUAAGACUGGGAUAACUCCGGGAAACCGGGGCUAAUACCGGAUGGUUGUUUGAACCGCAUGGUUCAAACAUAAAAGGUGGCUUCGGCUACCACUUACAGAUGGACCCGCGGCGCAUUAGCUAGUUGGUGAGGUAACGGCUCACCAAGGCAACGAUGCGUAGCCGACCUGAGAGGGUGAUCGGCCACACUGGGACUGAGACACGGCCCAGACUCCUACGGGAGGCAGCAGUAGGGAAUCUUCCGCAAUGGACGAAAGUCUGACGGAGCAACGCCGCGUGAGUGAUGAAGGUUUUCGGAUCGUAAAGCUCUGUUGUUAGGGAAGAACAAGUACCGUUCGAAUAGGGCGGUACCUUGACGGUACCUAACCAGAAAGCCACGGCUAACUACGUGCCAGCAGCCGCGGUAAUACGUAGGUGGCAAGCGUUGUCCGGAAUUAUUGGGCGUAAAGGGCUCGCAGGCGGUUUCUUAAGUCUGAUGUGAAAGCCCCCGGCUCAACCGGGGAGGGUCAUUGGAAACUGGGGAACUUGAGUGCAGAAGAGGAGAGUGGAAUUCCACGUGUAGCG
rnacentral:rRNA from 2 species